ACGAACGCUGGCGGCGUGCUUAACACAUGCAAGUCGCACGCUGAAGCUUGGUGCUUGCCCUGGGUGGAUGAGUGGCGAACGGGUGAGUAAUACGUGAGUAACCUGCCCUUGACUCUGGGAUAAGCCUGGGAAACUGGGUCCAAUACUGGAUACGACAUGUCACCGCAUGGUGGUGUGUGGAAAGGGUUUUACUGGUUUUGGAUGGGCUCACGGCCUAUCAGCUUGUUGGUGGGGUAAUGGCUCACCAAGGCGACGACGGGUAGCCGGCCUGAGAGGGUGACCGGCCACACUGGGACUGAGACACGGCCCAGACUCCUACGGGAGGCAGCAGUGGGGAAUAUUGCACAAUGGGCGGAAGCCUGAUGCAGCGACGCCGCGUGAGGGAUGACGGCCUUCGGGUUGUAAACCUCUUUCAGCACGGAAGAAGCGAAAGUGACGGUACGUGCAGAAGAAGCGCCGGCUAACUACGUG
rnacentral:rRNA from 1 species